rnacentral:rRNA from 1 species
CCUACGGGAGGCUGCAGUGGGGAAUAUUGCACAAUGGGCGCAAGCCUGAUGCAGCCAUGCCGCGUGUGUGAAGAAGGCCUUCGGGUUGUAAAGCACUUUCAGCGGGGAGGAAGGCGGUGAGGUUAAUAACCUCAUCGAUUGACGUUACCCGCAGAAGAAGCACCGGCUAACUCCGUGCCUGCAGCCGCGGUAAUACGGAGGGUGCAAGCGUUAAUCGGAAUUACUGGGCGUAAAGCGCACGCAGGCGGUCUGUCAAGUCGGAUGUGAAAUCCCCGGGCUCAACCUGGGAACUGCAUUCGAAACUGGCAGGCUAGAGUCUUGUAGAGGGGGGUAGAAUUCCAGGUGUAGCGGUGAAAUGCGUAGAGAUCUGGAGGAAUACCGGUGGCGAAGGCGGCCCCCUGGACAAAGACUGACGCUCAGGUGCGAAAGCGUGGGGAGCAAACAGGAUUAGAUACCCGAGUAGUC